rnacentral:lncRNA from 1 species
CUGUUGUGGAGGGAAACCACCCAUCCUCCUGCCUCCCACCACCACCAUCAUCCUGGCUGGACGGAGAGGGUGACGGGGGCUGGGAAGGGGCAGCUCAUGUUCAGGUUUCCAGGAGGGGCUACCUGUUGACUGUCUUUGCAGGAAGAAGAAAACACCUGAGUGACCAGAUGUCCCAGCUCCAGGUGCCUUGCCAGAUGGCCAGAACCACACCUCUUGAAGAGUGACAGGUGCCAGUGCCAGGCGUAGUGGCAUGCUUCUGUAGUCCCAGCUAUCUGAGGGGAAGAGAGUUCCAGGCAGAGGGCACAGCCCGUACGAAGGCCCCAAGGAAGGACUGCACCUGUGCUGUGGAGCAUGGUUUCUGCACACCUGGAAUGACUGGAACCCCAAAGACUCAAGAAGGAGCUAAAGAUCUUGAAGUAGACAUGAAUAAAACAGAAGUUACUCCCAGGCUGUGGACCACCUGUCGAGAUGGAGAAGUCCUUCUGAGGCUAUCCAAACACGGACCAGGCCAUGAGACCCCGAUGACCAUCCCUGAAUUUUUUCGAGAGUCAGUCAACCGAUUUGGAACUUAUCCAGCCCUCGCAUCCAAGAAUGGCAAA